GAGAGUGAAGAACGAGGACAGGAAAAAAAAAGAGAAAAAAGUGGAGAUAAAACACUGAUAAUCACUUUAUAUGAAAACACCUGCAGUGUGUGUGUGUGUGUGUGUGUGUGUGUGUGUGUGUGUGUGUGUGUGUGUGUGUGUGUGUGUGUGUGUGUGUGUGUGUGUGCAGCUGCAGCGUGGUGAGGAGGGUAGACACUCUGGAUGGUGCCACUUGCUGUUCAAAAUGAGGCAUUCUUCUCCUUUCGCCAUGUCCCCAGAGUGAAGUGUUGGCAGCAGAGACGUCGCCCGCCAAUGAAUUCUCUCCAUGAGCCUGUAAGAACCAAACAGGCUUCCCCUCACUGGUCACCUUGGGUGAAGUGUCUGCCUCACACCUGGGGCCAUCUCAAAUACUUCUGCGCCGCACCUGCACUACAUUCAAAAGACUCCUCUAGUAAUUGGAACUACAUAGGUUUUCGAUUAAGGGCGUUUGUAUGGUUCUAGUGACAGACUAACAGGACUUCUACUUUAUUAACCGGAGAAACACGCGUGAGAGGCCGGCUACUUGGUUCCGUGGCCUUUGAAAAUAGUCGUGGUGUGAGAGAAAAGCAUUACUGAAUACUGAUGCCACGUGUAUGCUCAGACACUCGUUCUCAUAUCAGGACCGACUAGGCAGGUUCCCAUGAGUGCCCUGCCUCCUGAUAGCGCUGGCUUCUUAUCGCUAGAAUCAUGAAAACAACCUUGAGAACCUUGAUAACGUCCAUUACUCCCUGUUAGAUGUGGCAGGGAUGAAAUGGAGAAAGAUCUAAGUAUAUUGAAUGACAAGAACGCAGCGAAAGACCGAGUGCAAGACCACCAGAGGCUAUAUUGAGCCUCACCAUGAUUUCUAGGCUCUCUGUGCAAGAAAACAACCUUACACUGUUUUCCUGAUCAAAUACGAUACUUAUCCUCCAGUUCUGGAUAGUCCCUUUUGUCCUUUCUUCAGGAACUGACACCUCAGUGAGCCUUUUUUCAAUUUUUUUUGUUGCUCUGGUCCAGUGCUUCUCUGGCAUAAAAAAAAAAAAAAAAAGAUUUUUUCUAAUAAAUACAAGAUGAAGAAGCCCUACCCUCCUCCCUUCGGCAUUGGUCAGAGAGGGGAGGACUGGAGUGCCGAGCGUGGUGCAGGAACAUCGGAACAAAGCGUUUCCAAAGGUUUUCAGUGUUGUUUUCAUGCUUCUGACAAUAAUGAAACAAGACUUCUGCAUCGCUACUGGGAAAAACACUCUGAGGAGUCGGCUCUCUGUGGCCUUUGAAAACAGUAUUAACGAAAAAAUAGUGUCUUCAAAGAUUUUCAGUGUUGUUUUCAUGAUUCUAGCAAUAUUCAACAAGACUGCACCGCUACUGGGGAAAAGCACACACGAGUUACCAACUAAUUAUCUCUCUGGAAUUUAAAAACUUACUAUGAAGAGAGAACAAACCGUCACAGAUUAGCACCCAAUGCCUCAAUCCCGGCAUGUCCGUGGUCUGUAAUCUACUGACCCCGUGACCGCCAGUGAGGGUGCAAUCAUUGCCACCCUGAGGAACCCUGGCUCUGUUGGAGAGACUUUUGAAUCACUCUGUCUCUUUUUUUUUUCUUUUUGUACGUAAGAAAGGUUCCGGCCAAGGGCAACAGAAGAGGGAAAACAGACCAUUGGACCAUUAGAGCAACCAGACCUUAGGAGCAGUGAAAGGUCCUAAAUUUUUUAAUGUCUUUCACGUUCCUACAGCAAACCGGACCGUCUUCAACACGUAUUCUGAAACAAUUCGCUCUCCCACCACGACUGUUUUGAAAGGCCACAGAGAUGGUUAGCCGGGUUCUCAAGAGUGCUGCUCCUGUUAGUAAUGUACGAAUCUUGUUAGUCUAUCUCUGCAGCCAUAAAAAAAAAAAAAACCUCUUGAAUAUAGUGGAGGUGCAGCGUGGAGGUCUCUCAGAAUAUGGCCAUUGUGUUAUGCCGCCUGCACAAAGCUUGGCAAGUGUUGGGUGCCGUGCCACCUCGCGACGUCACUGCGGCUCCCAGGGCUAAGCCACGUGAGUCGGGCAAACAUUAACGAAGUGAGGAAUUGUGUGAGGGUCUCAAACUCUGAGUCUCCAGGUUUUGAUGCAAGUUCCCCGACAAUGGUGAGACACUCCUGUGAACCAUUAUCCCUGCCAUUAACCAACACAGCCCAGAACAUCUAAAAAGCUGAAGUUAUUUAUAUAUUUACGCCCGGAAACAAGUAUGAACAAUUAUAGACCAAUAUCAAUUAGUCAGCCUUUGUGUAAAAUAUACGAGAAAGUUAUUGCAGUGCGUCUCAUCAGUUAUCUCGAAAAGCAAUAAAUAAAUACCAGCAUGGACCUCGAGCAAAUCGUUCUACUGAGACUGCAGCUCUGUAUUUUGUAAACACUCUAUAAAUUAUUAUAUGCAGUAUUUGUACGAAGGUCUCUAAAAAACUGUGGUAUAUUUUAUCAAAUCCGAUGUAAUCUCACCACUGAAGCAUUUAUUAGUAUAUAUAAUACCCUGUGGUGCCUCAUGCAGCUGGCUGUGCAUCCGUCUGGGGCUGCACACUGCCGUCAUUUCUAAAGGUCACCAUAGCGUAAUAUAAAGUUAUUAGAUGUAUUUCCUUUUUAGGUAAAUUUGACUCUAUCUGAAAUUAUCUUAAAUAGUAUUUUGAAACUCGAGUCUACCCACAAAUAUCUUUUAUUAUUAUUGAUCUAUAAAAUGUUAACAACUUGUACAAAAAAAUUAAAUCUUUGUGUGUUCAUUACCCUGUACAAACCAGAAGCAUUUGCGUAAACCUUGUAUCUCCACGUGGCUUGCCAAUCAAUAUAAAGAUUCACGUCAAGACAAGUAACACAAUAUCCUUCAAAAGAGAAUGAAAUAUGUUUGUUAUUAAAUACCGAGCUGGUCAGGUUUCAUAUGAGUAAAUUAUCAAAAAUAGAAUAUUUUUUUGGUUGGCCGAUAUUGUUGUCAGGUGGUGUACUCAGUGUAUUGUGUAUUUUGUUAGCCGUGUGUUAAAAAUAUGUGCAGGUUGUAGGCGUGAUGUGAAUAUGUAUGAAUAAAUGUAUGAGUUGACUCGUGUACGUUAAGUUAAUGUUUGCCCACCAGGGAGCUCCGGAUGCACCGAUUGUCGCAUUUCGGUAUAAAAUAUAAAAUGUUUGUAUAAAUGUAUAUGUUAAUAGCAAUGAAAUAUUAACAAAG